CGAGCGGACAGAAGGGAGCUUGCUCCCGGAUGUUAGCGGCGGACGGGUGAGUAACACGUGGGUAACCUGCCUGUAAGACUGGGAUAACUCCGGGAAACCGGAGCUAAUACCGGAUAGUUCCUUGAACCGCAUGGUUCAAGGAUGAAAGACGGUUUCGGCUGUCACUUACAGAUGGACCCGCGGCGCAUUAGCUAGUUGGUGGGGUAAUGGCUCACCAAGGCGACGAUGCGUAGCCGACCUGAGAGGGUGAUCGGCCACACUGGGACUGAGACACGGCCCAGACUCCUACGGGAGGCAGCAGUAGGGAAUCUUCCGCAAUGGACGAAAGUCUGACGGAGCAACGCCGCGUGAGUGAUGAAGGUUUUCGGAUCGUAAAGCUCUGUUGUUAGGGAAGAACAAGUGCGAGAGUAACUGCUCGCACCUUGACGGUACCUAACCAGAAAGCCACGGCUAACUACGUGCCAGCAGCCGCGGUAAUACGUAGGUGGCAAGCGUUGUCCGGAAUUAUUGGGCGUAAAGGGCUCGCAGGCGGUUUCUUAAGUCUGAUGUGAAAGCCCCCGGCUCAACCGGGGAGGGUCAUUGGAAACUGGGAAACUUGAG
rnacentral:rRNA from 2 species